AUGAUGUGAAAUGUGCAUCCGUGUUGAAAAUUGUGUGACCUUGGAGUGUUGUCAUGGAAUGUAUGUACAUACGUACACAGACGAGAUCGCGGAAUAGGACGAUAAUGGCUGAACGGGCCAACUAUCCACAACAUUGCCGGCUUGAUACGGACCAGGAAAAGGCUACGAAGGAGGCGAGGAAAAUUGUACGAAGGUCGUCGAUGCCCCUGACGGUCUGAUCUAAUGUACACGAGUAUAUAGAUGACUGGACCCAACCCCACUCGGUAACCCUACGGCAGACGCAGACGACCGGAGUAGAAUUCGAAGAAUGUCCA
rnacentral:misc_RNA from 1 species